AUGGAAGAUGGUGAUCAUAUGGCGAGUGGAAGUUCCAUCCAAAGCAGUCUUCACAUGGGUGCCGUCGCUACAGAAGAAGACCAGGAAAAGCAUUCACAUGAGGGUGUUUCACACAUACUGCUGACUGAUAUAUUGCUCCCCGUCUGUGAGGACAUGAAAGAUGAUCUGAGCAAGGAAAGGACAACAACUGGAAAGAGAAGCCCACUUGUGGCAGAAAGAUCACAGGUGAGAGAGGAUCCAGAUACUGUACACCUGUCAUGUGCAGUGACACAAUCAUCAAACGAGGGACCAUCAGUAUCACCCAAGAGGAAAAGACAGACUCAGGCAAAAGGCAAGUUAUUGGUAGAGAUGACGUUUCCCAAAAGGAAGACUGGAGAUUCCCCUAAGAGUGACGAGCAAUCACAAACCAUUCCUUCGUCAACCUUAAUGUCAGAGUCAACACAAUGUAGUGCUGAGACAUGUGCUGGCUUGCUGCCCAUUGGCUCAGAGGACCGUGAGGAGGCAUGUGGGAGUGUUUCUCACAUGGUGCUCUCUGAUAUUUUGGUGCCUGUAUUGGAUGAGACUGCAGAAUGCAGCCUUCACAAAGACUCUUUCCCAGCUGGUCUUAGAGAAGAUGCAGUUAGUGUAUGUUUCUGUAUUUUGACAGAUCAUCGGUCGCAUGAGUACUUUUUAUCCCAAUAA
rnacentral:lncRNA from 1 species